AUUGAACGCUGGCGGCAGGCCUAACACAUGCAAGUCGAACGAGUGGCGGACGGGUGAGUAAUGUCUGGGAAACUGCCUGAUGGAGGGGGAUAACUACUGGACACGGUAGCUAAUACCGCAUACCAUCAGAUGUGCCCAGAUGGGAUUAGCUAGUUGGUGGGGUAACGGCUCACCCAGGCGACGAUCCCUAGCUGGUCUGAGAGGAUGACCAGCAAAACUGGAACUGAGACACGGUCCAGACGCGUACGGGAGGCAGCAGUGGGGAAUAUUGCACAAUGGGGGCAAGCCUGAUGCAGCAAUGCCGCGUGUAUGAAGAAGGCCUGCGGGUUGUAAAGUACUUUCAGCGGGGAGGCGUUACCCGCAGAAGAAGCACCGGCUAACUCCGUGCCAGCAGCCGCGGUAAUUC
rnacentral:rRNA from 1 species